GCCAUCUAAGCCAGUAUGUCAGAUGACACUAUACAGAGAAGCACUUUGGGAACUGAUAAGUGAAUGGUUGUGAGGCUCCAUGUGGGUGCCGGAACCCAGGUCCUCUGCAAAAGAGACAAGUGUGCUCAGCCACUGGGUCUCUCUAGCUACAGCAUUCUUCUUAAAGAAGACUAGAGUACAUCUUUGUAGCAUAGUUAGUGACAAGUUUUUAAUUUUUUGUUUUAGAAAUUUAUAUAACUGCUUACUAUUCUUGGCUUAAAUUUUCAUUCAAAUCUGAAUUUUCAGUCUGAAAAUAAAAUGAAACAAAGUAGAGAGACAUGUCUUUGUUUUUGAGCAUCUGCUUAACCCAAUCAGUUGUUUUUUUGACUACACCAAAAAAAUGCUAUGAGAAGUUCAUGACCAGGGCCGACAGCUUCAAAGAAAAGGAUGCCGAGCUGCAGGCGAAGCUGA
rnacentral:lncRNA from 1 species